rnacentral:SRP_RNA from 1 species
CGUUUGGGUCUUAUGCAAUGGAAUCCUGCGAACCGUGUCAGGUCAGGAAUGAAGCAGCACUAAGCAGAUCAUUUCAUGUGACAUGAGGAAGCCUAGACCGAGU